GGUAAAAAUUGAAACACGAAAAUAAAACGACCGUGAAAAUAUCAAGGAAACUCUUUUUAUAACAUUUACUUUUACCAGGUGUGACUUGAAUGGAGAGUUGUCUCAUUGGCACUCAUACCAUAUCUUCUAAUAUCUACGUAUAUAAGAAGAAUAUCUAUAGGACUACUGUAUAACACUGAUUUUAUAAACGACACAUAUAUAACUGAAAUCAUAGCUAUAUCUUCUAAUGAAAAGAAAUGUUAGAAGUAAUGAAUUUAACGCUAAUCAUUACAUCAUAAACACGGAAGUCAACAUUACGGAUAUUGUUAUGUAAAUAAACUCAUCAUAGAUACCAGGACGAAAUUUUAUAUAUACGCCAGACGCGCGUUUCGUCUACAAAAAACUCAUCAGUGACGCUCCAAUCCAAAAAGUAAAAAAAAAAAUAGCCAAAUAAAGAACGAAGUUGAAGAGCAUUGAGAUCCAAAAUUCCUAACAGUGUUGCCAAAUACAUCUAAGGUAAUCUAUGCCUGAGGUAGAAAAACAAAACUCGUUACAAAUAUGUAAAUGACACAGGUCAAUCAGUAAUAAAAAUAUA
rnacentral:lncRNA from 1 species